CCUAAAGGGAUUGGAAAUUUGCGUAACCUAAGCGAGAUUAAUUUAAGUAGGAGCAAAGUUGAGGAGUUACCUGAUUCAAUUUGCUCUUUGGAUAAUUUGGAAAUUCUAAACCUUAAAGAAUGUACGUGCCUUUCUAGACUUCCUGAAGGGAUUGGAAAUUUGCAUAGGUUAAGAUCGAUUGAUUUAAGCGAGAGCAAAGUUGAGGAGUUACCUGAUUCAAUUUGCUCUUUGGAUAAUUUGGAAAUUCUAAACCUUAAAGAAUGUACGUGCCUUUCUAGACUUCCUGAAGGGAUUGGAAAUUUGCAUAAGUUAAGAUUGAUUGA